GACGUAGGGCGCGAGCGUUGUCCGGAUUUAUUGGGCGUAAAGAGCUCGUAGGCGGCUAAGUAAGUCGGGCGUGAAAUCCCACGGCUCAACCGUGGAAGUGCACUCGAAACUGCAUAGCUAGAGUCCUGGAGAGGAAGGUGGAAUGCUUGGUGUAGAGGUGAAAUUCGUAGAUAUCAAGCGGAACACCGGUGGCGAAGGCGGCCUUCUGGGACAGUGACUGACGCUGAGACGCGAAAGCGUGGGGAGCAAACAGGG
rnacentral:rRNA from 1 species